GAUGAACGCUGGCGGCGUGCCUAAUACAUGCAAGUCGAGCGAAGCGCCUGCUUCUGAACUUUCGGGUGAAGAAACAGGCGACUGAGCGGCGGACGGGUGAGUAACACGUAGGUAACCUGACUCACACAGGGGGAUAACAGUUAGAAAUGACUGCUAAUACCGCAUAAGCGCACAGGACCGCAUGGGCUGGUGUGAAAAGCUCCGGCGGUGUGAGAUGGACCGGCGUCUGAUUAGCCAGUUGGCGGGGUAAAGGCCCACCAAAGCGACGAUCAGUAGCCGGCCUGAGAGGGUGGACGGCCACAUUGGGACUGAGACACGGCCCAGACUCCUACGGGAGGCAGCAGUAGGGAAUAUUGCACAAUGGGGGAAACCCUGAUGCAGCGACGCCGCGUGAGCGAAGAAGUAUCUCGGUAUGUAAAGCUCUAUCAGCAGGGAAGAAGAUGACGGUACCUGACUAAGAAGCACCGGCUAAAUACGUGCCAGCAGCCGCGGUAACAC
rnacentral:rRNA from 1 species